GAGCUUGCUCCUGCUGACGAGCGGCGGACGGGUGAGUAACGCGUGGGAAUCUGCCUAUUGGUGGGGGAUAGCCCGGAGAAAUCCGGAUUAAUACCGCAUAAUACCUGAGGGUUAAAACAGGGGAUCUUCGGACCUUGUGCCAAUAGAUGAGCCCGCGUCAGAUUAGUUAGUUGGUGAGGUAAUGGCUCACCAAGACCGCGAUCUGUAGCUGGCCUGAGAGGGUGGCCAGUCACACUGGAACUGAGACACGGUCCAGACUCCUACGGGAGGCAGCAGUGGGGAAUAUUGGGCAAUGGGCGCAAGCCUGACCCAGCCAUGCCGCGUGUGUGAAGAAGGCUUUCGGGUUGUAAAGCACUUUAAGUUGGGAGGAAGGUGCGACGGUUAAUACCCGUUGUAAUUGACGUUACCAACAGAAUAAGCACCGGCUAAUUCCGUGCCAGCAGCCGCGGUAAUACGGAAGGUGCGAGCGUUAAUCGGAAUUACUGGGCGUAAAGCGCACGUAGGCGGUUUGCUAAGUCAGAUGUGAAAGCCCAGGGCUUAACCUUGGAACUGCAUCUGAUACUGGCAGGCUAGAGUACAGUAGAGGGAGGUGGAAUUUCAGGUGUAGCGGUGAAAUGCGUAGAGAUCUGAAGGAACACCAGUGGCGAAGG
rnacentral:rRNA from 1 species